rnacentral:rRNA from 1 species
ACUCCUACGGGAGGCAGCAGUGGGGAAUAUUGGACAAUGGGGGAAACCCUGAUCCAGCAAUGCCGCGUGAGUGAUGAAGGCCUUAAGGGUUGUAAAGCUCUUUUACCAGGGAUGAUAAUGACAGUACCUGGAGAAUAAGCUCCGGCUAACUCCGUGCCAGCAGCCGCGGUAAUACGGAGGGAGCUAGCGUUGUUCGGAAUUACUGGGCGUAAAGCGCACGUAGGCGGUUACUCAAGUCAGAGGUGAAAGCCCCGGGGCUCAACCCCGGAACUGCCUUUGAAACUAGGUAACUAGAAUCCUGGAGAGGUGAGUGGAAUUCCGAGUGUAGAGGUGAAAUUCGUAGAUAUUCGGAAGAACACCAGUGCGAAGGCGGCUCACUGGACAGGUAUUGACGCUGAGGUGCGAAAGCGU